GUACUCUCUCUGGCAGUGCAUGUUCUAAAAUUGGAAUGAAACAGAGAAGAUGAGCAUGGCCCCUGCACGAGGAUGACAUGCAAAUUUGUGAAAUGUGCCAUAUUUAA